rnacentral:lncRNA from 1 species
GGUGGGACAGACCGUGUCCUUUGCUUGGUCCCCACAGGGCAGCAUGGGGCUGCUGGCUGCGGUGCUGCUGGCUGCUCUCCUGCCUGGGAUUGCUGCCCGGGGGGCUCAGGCGCUGUGGCCGGAUGAACCCUCACACACCUGCUCCUUCCAGAGCCUCAGUGGCAAGGACAGCGAGUUCUGCAGAGGCAACUUAGAAGUCAUCUACCCGGAGCUGGGCGACGUGGGCUGCACCUACAUCCCCAGUUGCCACCAGUCCCGUUGGCGCAUCAGCAGGGAGUGGGGCAGCCCCC